UUGACCUCAGAUCAGGUAGGGAUACCCGAUG
rnacentral:rRNA from 1 species